rfam:Dipodomys ordii contig_14036, whole genome shotgun sequence.
GUGAAGGUGGCUCAGUGGUAGAGCGCUUGCCUUGCAUGCAUAAGGCCCUGGGUUCGAUUCCUCAGUGCCACA